CUUGAGGUAAAUACUCAACAUUUUUAAUUUUUCUAGUUAAUUCUUUGACAUAAGUUACUUCGUAACUGUGAUUGAAUUUCCAAAUAUUAAAGAUUUUGAAGUAUUAUUAUUUAUCUUCUAGUCUAUUUAUAGUUUAGAAAAGGAGCACAAUAUGUACGACUUUAUUGUGCUGGAAUUAAUCAAUACUUAUUUAUGUAUCAGCAUUUGGGCUAUCUUGUAAAACAUUCCAUGUGUGCUUACAAUGCAUACUCUGUAUUUAUUUGUUUUGACAUUUCACAAUUGGCAACAAAAUAAAGCUGUUGGUAGUGUUCAGAUCACCAAUAUUGUUAAUGAUGUUCCUUAUUCUAUUAUUUGCAAAGACAUUGGUUUUAAAGGCUCAAAAUGUUUGUAUAUUUGGCUAGUUCUCUGUUUUGUCCUAUAAUUAUUCUCCCUUUAUAUAUAUUGAAGCAUAGAUAUUGCAUUCAUAUGCUAUUCAAAGUGUUAUGAUUUUCCUCAUGGUUUAACAUUUUAAAGAGAUAUUUCUUAUUCACCUUUAAAAAUACUUCUGGUUCUAAAGUCUACUACAUAUAGUACUAUUGCAGCACCCUUAUUUUUCUUACAUAUAUUAUCUUCACAAUAAUCUGUUGCCUCCAUUUUACUUUAACAUAAUAUUUGUAUGUUUAUUUAAAUUAUACUACUUAUAAAAAACAUAAAUUGUUUUUUAAAAAUAAUUCUUAUAAUCUUUGCCUUGUAACUAUAGAAUAUAAUUCAUUUUUAUUUAAUAUAAUUAUUUGUUUAGAUUAAGGUCUAUCAUCUAUCUUUUUUUUCUGGUUCUCAAUUUGAUUUUUUUUUUCAAUUCCUUACUUAUUGCUUUGUUUUUCAUUAAUCAAAUAUUUUUAGUAUGUUUUUUAAAUGUUUCCAUUUCUUUUAUUUUAGUAUUAUCAUUUUAAAUUUGUUCUGGAAAAUAAAGCACUAAUUUAUCACAAUAUUCUUACUGUUUAGAGUAUUUUAUUAUAUUUGACUACAUUCUAUAUAUACUGGUAUGCAUUAUGAUUUCCUUUGUCUUCUUUUGAUUUCAUAUUUUAAAAUAUUUCAUUAAUAAUAAAAUUCAAUCUUGUUAAAUUUACUUUAAAUAAUCUUUUGUCUUUAAGUGAAAUUAAGACAUAAAAGGUAAUAGUUUAUGUUCUCCAUAUAUUUACCAUUCAAAGUGUUUACCUUCUUCUUUCCUGUAGAUCUGGAUUGUAUCUAGUGUGGCUUACCUCUAAGCUGAAUAUUUUCCUUGAUAAUCUUAUAGUUCAGCUCUAAUGGUGACCAAUGCUCUUAGAUUUUGUUUAUAUAUAAAAAAUUGACCUUAUUUUUUCAUAGACGUUUUGUUGGAUAUAAAGUAUGGUCUAAAAUUUAUUUUUGAUUUUAGUUCUUCAAAGAUCUUUUUAUUGUAUUUAAUUUCUAUCAUCUCUAGUCAAGAGUCUGUUAUUAUUUGUGUUAUUGUCACAUUUUGUAUAAUGUAUCUCUGUUUCCAAUGGCUGAUUUUCCUCUUUGUCUUAGGCUUCCUUAAGCUUCACUAUAUUCUCCCUAGGUAUAGUUGUCUAAAAAAUCCCAUUUCUUAGGUUUUACAGAGAUUGUUGGAUCUGCAAGUUGAUGUUUCUUUAUAUUUCACAAAUUUGGAAAACUUGAAAUUAUUAUUUCUUCAAACAUAUUUUUCUGUACUAUUUCUCCUCUUCUUGCAGAACUUGAAUUACAUGUAUAUUAGAUUGUUUUAUCUUGCCCCACUGGUCAUUUACACUUUCUUAAAUAAUUUUCUGUUUUCUGUCCUUUGUUCAUAUUUUUGAAUACCUAUUCAUCUAUUUUUAAGUCACUUCAUUCUUUUGAGUUUUAAUCUAUCCUAAGUCUACCAAGUGGAUAAAUCACUUCAGAUAUUGUACUUUUGGUUUGGGAAUUUUCAAUUAGCUUUUUUCUAUAAUAGCUUUCAUUUAUCUGUUCAGAUUCAUUAUUGUGGUCUUUCCCUGAAACUUUCUGAACAUAUCUCUAAUAAGUUCAUCAAAAGUUCUUGACAGCUAAUCCAACCUAUUGAUUUUUGAAGGCUUCUUACUUUUCUUUUCUUUGAAUUGUCACAACAUGAUUAUACAAAAUAGUGGAAUUCAUUGUGUCAUAUUUAUACAUGCCCAUAACAUAAUUUGCUCCAUCUCAUUUUUCAAGACCUUCUUUUUCACCACCUUUCUUCCCUCCCUCAAUCUACUAGGUCUACUCUACUAAUUCCCUUCUAUUAUUAUUAUUAUUAUUAUUAUUAAUAAUUAGUGCAUUAUAUUAUGUACAUAUUUGUAUAUAUAUAUGUGAUUCAUGUGGUACAUUUGUACAUGCACUUAGCAAAAUUUGGUAGAUUUUAUUCUAUAAUUCCUCCCCUUUUGAAUCCCUCCUUCUUCCCCCUCAGUUCCUUCUUCUCUUGUUUUCCCUUUUAUUUUCAGAGACACCCCCUCUUUAAAUUCCUUAUUUCUCUCUAGCUUUCACUAGCUUCUGCAGAUGAGAGAAAACAUGGGAUCAUUGGCUUUCUGAGUCUGGCUUAUUUCACUUGGCAUGAUGUUCUCCAGUUCCAUUUCCCAGCACAUGAUAUAAUUUAAUUCUUUAUGGCUGAAUAAACUCUGUUGUGUAUAUAUACCACAUUUUCUUUAUCUAUUAAUCUGUUGACAGACGACUAUGCUGGUUCCAUAACUUGCCUGUUAUAAAUUGUGCUGUUAUAAACAUUGGCAUGCAUGUAUCUCUAUAGUAUGCUGAUUUUAGUUCUUUUGAAAGAAUACCAAGAGGAAGGAUGUCUAGAUCGUGCUCCUAGUCUUUUGACUGAUCUUAGUUUUUUUUUUUUUGAAAGUGGUUAUACUAAUUUUCAGUCCCACUAACAAUAUAUAAUUGUACUGUUUUUUCCACAUCCCUCCUACCAUUUAUUUUAUUUAUAUUCUUGAAGAUUGCUAAUGUUCAUUUUCAAAUUGAUUACAUUCUUUAAGUUUUAAUCAUAUUAUUACACACUUGCAUGUCUAGUAAUUAUUUUUUUUUGUAAGCUAUACAAUGUGGUUGUACAUUAUAGUGAGUCUAACUCUAUGACUUGUGACCAUUUUCUUGCAGGAUGAAGUGGUAAGUGCUUUCAACUGGGAGUUAGACAGUCUCUUUCAUAACUACCUAACUCUGUGUUAUAAUGGGAAAGAAGCAACAUAAAAUACUUGAACAAAGGGACAUGGCUAUGUUCCAAUUUAACUUUAUUUACAACACCAGGUGUCUUGCCUGUGGAAUGUAUUUUCCUUAACCCUUCCUGAGAGCAUGUCACUUUGUUGUAAAUGGUGUUCAGCCUCAUUAUGGCAGGUAGUUUGAUUAUUGGCAGAUUUUCUCUUGUCCUGUCAGUCUUGCUUAUUCUUUAUUUUAAUGGCUCUAUAUCAGUUCUGCACUGAUUUUUUUCCUUAAGUAGUUUUCUUAUACCCAAAGUCUGAGGGCUUUUCAGAUAUUUACUGAACAGCAAAGCUGUUCAGAAAAGUCUCUUAGGCUGAUUAUAACUUUGGGUGUUGCCAUUGGACAGUCAACUUAACAUGAAAUGGGUACUUAUGGGCAUUUUAAUCUCAUUUCUGCAUUCCUAGGACAGCUCCUAACCAAGCUAUGCUUCACAUCUUUAUGCAGAGUCUGUUCUCUAUGCUGCUCUUUCUCAUCCAGUACUUUGCUUGGAAAUUCCAGCCCCUUUAACUGCGUUGAACUCUAAUCUCUGCAUCUGCAGCUCAGCAGCACUGUUAGUUUGUGCUCCACCUCCCUGUGCCCCUAAAAGCUAUAAUAUCCUUAGAAAGCAACCAGGGUUCCUGCAGUAAUUGCCUCAGUAUACACAGUCUUGCAUUGCCUGUUGCUUAACACUUGCAAACCAUUGUUGCAUGUAUGUUUUUCAUAUUUAUAGUUAUUUUCUUUUGAUGAGAGGACACAUGCAAUAUCAGUUAUUUUGUAAAGAAUAAAAGUAAAAAAUCCACUGACAUUUUGCCAAAAUAUUCUUCAAUUUUUUGAAUGAGACUUCAUUCAAAUCUCCUGAAAUUAGACUUUUGGAAUAUGUCACCAUGCUUAUGUCAUUGGAUAUUGGCUACUCAAUAUUUUACUGUGAUGUUUAGAAUAUAUUCAGGGUAUAUUUGUGUGGGUGAAAUAUAAUCACCUGAAUAAACAACCAUUAGUAGCAGCUCUUCAACAAUUGUACAAGUGAAGUGUAAAAAGUAAAGGGGUUUAAUAUUUAAGGAAAAAUGUACAUUUGAAUAAUUAUUUUUUAGACAACAUUUUUGAUGUAAUUCUUAAAUUUCCCUACACAAUUCCAAGUUUUACUGUUCUUCAGAAUCCCCUAUAAAUAAGUUAGUACUUUUCUUAGGAUUCUUCAUAUUUGUCUCUGAAUUGUGAAAGCCCUAGCUUUGAAAUCUACAAUUAAAAUAAUGUACUUGGGAUAAUCAUCAUUAGUAAAUCUUACUUUAAGAAAAUAAUUAAGUAAUUAAACAUAGAAAUUAGAAACAUGGUGUUUCUACUGUAAAUAGUGCAUUAGUAAUCUGGUCAAGAAUAUGAUUUCAUAGACAAAUAAUUUGGCAGAAUAUCAGAAGAGUGGUCUCUACUUUGAGAAGUCUUGCCCUAGCAUUUAUUCUUGUGUUCAAAAUUUUCUUGGCCUACGUAAAGUGGAAGAUUGGAGUAGAGCUUCAAUCUGCAUAGAAGGUAUCUGGAAUGCUUUUCCAGAACACAGAUUUCUGGUGCGUCCAUCCAGAUAUUAUGCAUAUUGAAGAUUUAGAAUCUUUAAAAGAAGUGUUCUCUAAUAUCACAUUCAUAUCCAAAGUCUACACAGAGGUGACAUGUAGUAUUGCAAUAUCACUAACCAGCAAAAUAAUUUCUACAAUUCCUAUGGUUAUUAAAGCAAAACAUUCUCUGAAAAAAAUAACAGAUGUGGCAAAUAAAAGGAUUUUAAGUUGUUGUUAAAAAUAUAAUACCCAGAAACCAAUUUAAACCCAGCAUUAUUUGUGGAGGAAGUUCAUGUUCUACCAUUUAGUCUGAAGAAGAAAGCUCAACCUUUUUAUUAACUUUAAUAGACACCUAAUAAACAAAUUUUGAAAACAAUUUACAUGUAGAAUAUUACAUGGUUGGAAAAAUACACAGUGUAAAGAUUGACAUCAUUCUACAUGCAAAUUUUAUUAUAUAGACUAUUUUUAAAUUGUUAGGUUAUAUUUAAUGAUUUUUGCAUAAUUAUAAUUUAUGUGCCUUUCCCCUAAUUUGAUAUAAAGACAAAAAUUUUUAUGUUAAUCUACUAUAUUCAUGUUUCCAUAGAGAAUUCUAUUUCUAGGAGUAGAUAGUAUUUAUUUAUUCCUUUAUUUAUUGGUACCAGGUAUUGGAGUAGAUAGUAUUUAUUUAUUCCUUUAUUUAUUGGUACCAGGUAUUGACUUGGGGAACUUAACCACUGAGCAACAUCCCUAGCACUUUUUUAUUUUUAUUUUGACUCACGGUCUCACUAAGUUGCUUGGGCUUCACUAAAUUGCUAAGUCUGCCUUUGAACUUGCAGUCCUUCUGCCUCAGCCUCUGGAGCUGCUGGGAUUAGAGGCAUGUACCAUCAUGCCUAGCAAGGCAUUCCAUUGUUCUAUUCUUUUCUCACCCUUUACUUCCCAUGAGAGGGAGGAAUUGUAACCCAGUUCUCAAUUUGUUCCAUACUUGAUCCUUCUAAAGUUCUGACAUACACUGUUAGAGGCUUUGUAACCCAAAGUAUUAGGAAUAUAAUGAAUGGACACAUUAGGCUCUAUUACUUGUGAAGCACAUAGAUGACUACAAAUAAAUUGCUUUUAAAAUAAACCUUGUCAAAUUAUAGAAGUGUGGUAGAGAAACAUCCUUAUCUAGGUAAGAAGUAGAGUAGCAUUAUGCUGGGCAGGUUUUCUACAAGGAAGACCUCAUGUAAUUAACAUGACUCUGGCCCUUUAACUUUUAACAUGCUUCCCCAAUUAAGCUUUCAAGGCCUUGAACUACAGUAUCAGGCCGCAGCUGCUGGAAAUUGAUUUAUCCCAGAAGAUCAUUGGAGCUCCUGACCUCUCUGUUAGAGAAUUUUAUUUAGCUUUUUGGAUAUUUGCCUCCUUUUUGCCCUAGACGGAUGGUAAAAAAGGAAAGAUGAAAAUAUUUGCAAAUGUUCUAAGAGAUGCUUUCACUAUUUCAAUUUAUUUUUCAGACACUACAUAAUUGUACUUGGUCACUAUUGUGUGAAUGUAGAACUAUAGCUAUUUAAUGUUAUACACACUUGCAAAAGAAUAUAAAUCACAGGAAAUUUAGAAUGUUUAUUUUAUAAAUAUUACAAUAUUAUGAGGUGGCUGUUUUGUUUGUGUAUUAAAGUUUAUUUCAGACCAAUUCCUCAAAUUAAUAUUUCUAAUAUUAUUGUUGUUCCUAAAAAUAAUGUUUGUUUAAUUAUUGUUGUUUCUAAAAUUAAUGCCUCAGGAUUCAGUAAAUGAUAGCUGCAGGAUGAUCAUCCGAUUAAAUUGUGUUUGAAGAUAUACUAAAUAAUCAAAGAUUUUUACUUUGGAUUUAGAACUUGUAUGGUAUUUUCCAUUGGCAUAUAAUUUUUCCCCUCUUUAUUUAAAUAGAGUUUGCAAGGGCUGCAUAAAUCAGAGACAUGCCUGCUUUUUUAAAAGAGUUUCAGGCAAGGAUAUUCUGGGUUGACUGUGCUGAAAAAAACCUCCCUACACACAGCACCUUGUGUUUACGUGAGGUUUGCUGCUGCGAAGAUUCCUUCUGCAUCUGUGUCUUGGCAUGCAGGGGCCCCCUGGGACAAGGUGCCCUCUUGAGGGCUGUUUUUGCCAGCCCUGCAUUUUUGCUUCUGUCAUUCCCCUGCCAUGGUCCUAGUGGUUAUAACAAACCACAGGUGUUACAAACUCUAAAUUGGAAUUGGAUGUUGGAUUCAAAAAACUCAUGAUAAUUACACAGCUGUUUUAAAUUGUGGUUAAGUGGCCGAAAACUGCCAAGAAACCCCACCCACAUUCAUUACUGUCUAAACGAAAAGGACGUGUAUACAGUGAUUAUGAGGUUUCCUAUGAAUCCCCCAAGCCAUAGAGCAGACUUUCCUAAUUGUCAGCUGGACUGUGCAGUGCUUGUUUAAAAUAAUUAGACUGCAGCAGCAGCUUCAGCAGCAAACCUCAUUUUUUUUUUUUUAAUUCUCAGUGCAGGUUUUUAUAUCAGAUACUAUCAGCUUCCUGUUCAUUUUGACACUAUCAUUCUGCCAGUCUGGAAAAUGGGGAAGAGGAAAGAAAAGAAUUAUCCUUAAUGUACACAAAUAAUGCAGCUCAAAAGUCAGGAAGAUUCAGCUCUCUGUGUGAGAUGGAUGGAAACAAUUCAGCAAACAAAUCUAAACUGGGGGUGGGGGGGAGAUGUGGUUCACUCUUAUUUUUUUUUUCAAGAGGGAUAGCUGAAAUCUUUCUUAAUUACCGCUUAUUCCAAUGACAGAAUUGUAAUUUAUCAUUUAGUUGUAAUUUGACAUAUGUUCGCACCUUUGCCAUUUCCAAUUUCCUCCUUCAUUCUAAUUGUCUGCUUCACUCGCCUGUCAUGCGCUUCUCUUGGGAUUAAUUCGAGCUGUCUGUCUGCACCAGGCUACCAGCACACUUGGGGCUGCUGAGAGCGUGACAGUGUCAAUGUGCACACAGUUUAUCUAAGGCAUUACCCAGCCAUCACGCUCCCGGAUCCUCUCUUCCCUCACUGUUUACUGUUUAUUCCACUUUGCAUUUGUGACUUUUCCGUGUUUUAUUAGACUCUAAUUAUGCUCUUGGCUGUCAGCUGUAAAGAGAGAAAAUGUUACAUUAAUUACAGUGGAGGGGGAGGUGCUUGAGACUGUAAUAAAUGGACCAGUAGAUGUCUCUCUCUGUCUCUAAGAUCCGUGCAUGAUUUUAAUACUCUUCGUGUUCCACUUUGGUUUGAAUCCUUGAUAGAUGCCUAUACGCAAACAUACGUUCAGGCUUGUGCUGCUUUUAUAUGCAAACCACCCCCCAUCUCAUCUAAGACGAAGUAAAUUGGCUUAGUAAGACAGGGACUUCAGUUUUCAAAUAAUCAUUUUUUUAAAAGGUCAAUUGUUUAAUUCAUGGAUGGUUUCAACACAAACAUGUUGUGGAGUUGUGAUGGUAGGAAGCAUAUUCAGUGAGCAAUGAUAGAAUCCAAUAUUUCCAUAAAGGUAGAUGUUGUUUUGGUCCAUUAGAAACUGUUAAUAGUCUUUUUUUCCUCCAUCCUUCCUAGGGUCAUCACAAUCCAUUAAAAUCCAACAAUAAUUUCUGCCUAUGUCAUCUUUUUUUUUUUCUUUUGCCUUCAGAAAAAAAAUUCUUUCUAUUGCUUCCAGCCUACCUAAACCAUAAAAAUGCAAGUUUUCUGUUCUCCUGCUAAAUAGAUUUUUCAUUGUAACUAAAACUUCCUAGUAAUAGAAAGCAGAAGGAAGAGAUCGGCUCUGUGCCCCUUUAGGCCAUUAGGAAGGGAGGUAAUUUCAUUGAAUUAGUUCCAUCAUUUCUCCAUUGGCCUGAAAUAGUGAAAGUGAUUCCCUAGAAUAUCUAAUUAUCUAUGGAAAUGGACUCAUAUUUUGUUUUCUACUCUCAUAAUUUUCUCAGUCUUGCUUCAGGUAAUUGUGGGGCUGAAGAUAUUUGGUAGUCAUAUUUCUUUUCCUUAUUUUUUGUAAUCUUAGCAAUUAAAGUUCUGCUAAUUAUAUUUUUUGGCUUCCAACUCAGUUUUAAUUCUAUAUACUAGAAAACGCUGCAUAACUGCAUGAUCAUUAUUUCAACUUGUGAAAUUCCCAUAUUUCUGAAAAUAUACAUAUUAAACCAUAUUGCUAAGAGUUACAGUUCUUAUGGGAAACUAAGAAGGUAUAGGUGAAGAAAGUAACAGUCUAUAAAAUAUGAUAUUGGAAGACUAAAGUUGGGAACUAUUGUCUAGACUUUUUUGUUUGUUUGUUUGUUUUGUAAGUUUCACAUAAUAGGCCAGAAAUUUCUGGCAUUCACCUAAACUACCUUUACUACAUACAUUAUAUACUAAAGCAAUAUCUAAAAUAUGAAUAUCUUGGUGAUCAAAAGCAAUUCUUUGAUAAAUUUCAUUUUAAUUCUAAAAUAUUACUAAAGUCUAAAUUGAGCUUUGAAACUUUUGUGCAAAUAGAAUAGAGCCAAUUAUAGUAAAAAUCUCAGCAAUCAAUUAACUUCCUCUAGAAAAAGGAGUUUUAACAAAAAGGGGAGAGGCACAAGAGGAUGAACAAAGAUAGUAGGAGGGAAAAAACCAGGGACAAGUAACGGAUAACAAUUAAAUUAACUAAAAUGCAGUAUUAAGCUGAAUAUUUGAAAUCUUCUGUUUGGAAGAAAUUAUUAGCACCAUGUUAACCUUUUAUAUUUCCUGAAUAUGCUUUUAAAAAAUUUUAUGAGAAUAUUGUAAGACCUUGAUUAUCACAGGUCUCUAUUACCGCACCACAUUUUUGACUGGCUUCUGUUAUUUUGAAAGGUAGAAUCCCUGUAGUGCAUGAUGUGAUCCCCUGAUGAAUCUAGCUCAAAAACCCAUUUUAUUUUGUUGGUCCCUGUCUUACUCUCUUGCUGACUUUCAUGAUCAUCCAUAAUUUGAUUUCGUUUUAGAUAUACAUAUCCAUUUCUUAGUGCUACAUCAUGAGUCCAUGCCACGUUAAUUAUUGAUGGGUUGACUGGUUUACUUAUUUUUCAUAUUUGUUCUAUGGAUAUUUGUAUUAUAUAUAAAGCAGUGAAUGAGUCAGAAACAAUUACUGUAGUCAUGGAGCUUACAUUAAAUUUAUUCUUUGCAAUGAUUCACACACAAUGACUAUUUCUGUUCUUGUUCAUAAAAUUUACCCCCUUUCCAUGUAUUUCUACCAGCACUGCAAAUCUUGCCUAGUCUUGAAGGCACAGAUCAAUUUUAAUCUUCCUAAUGAAAGCUUUCUAACUCACACUGAGCCUGGAAAUUCAAUUUUUAAUUACAUAUUAUCUUAUGUAUUUUUAAGUGUUUUUUUUUUUAAACUUUGUUGAGUGUAGACCCAUUUGUUCUUUACAUUCCUAUGGCACAGCAAGACUCUUCAUCAUGAUCAUUUGUAGAGUUCUUUCUUAGCCCACUCGUUCCAAAUUGCUGCACCUGAGGGAUUAGGCCUCUGGGUACAUUUGUUUAAAAACCAUCACAGAGAAUCCUGGUUAAGAGUCACUAACAUUGGACACAGCACACAUUGAUUAAUGGAUGAACUGAUUGAUCUGUGUAUUAGCUGCAUUUCAUAGCCUGCCCUACACAGCCUCAAAGAAGUUAAAUUACCUUGUCUAUGCCUCUGCUCUACAAUAUUCAUUUGGAAUAUUCAUAUGAAAGAUAAGAACAUUAGUGCAGUGUCCUCCUUUAUCUUAUUUUAUUCGUUUUUGGGAAAAAAAAAUUGACAACAGAUGGCUUUAAACUUAUUUUUAAUGAUGGGAGGAAAAUUCCAGCGAAACCUACCAUUUAUUUUAUUUUAUACAAAAGAGAUUUUCCAUGACAGAUUUUGCAAAGUAAAAUAAAAGAACGUGGAGAGAAAACAAGAAUCUUAUAAAAAUGUUUUUAUUAAAUUAAAAUAUUGAGAUAACCCAUAGAAGACAUGAAUUGGAGAAAAGUGUUAUUUCUUAAUGUUUUAUAGUUGAAAGAAUUAGCAGAAUUAUGGUCUUAUUGUGAUGAAUCAUGGAUGAAGUAAUUUGGUCUUCUUUGCAAUGUGGAGGUAACAGGCUUUUGAAAUUAUGACUAAGUGGUCAAAUAAGCAAUUCAAUAACCUAUUAAGAAGGUAUAUGGUCAAGCUGUCUUUGUAUGAAUGGGUGUGACUAUGGGAAGGCAACUUGAAUGCAUAUCAAUCUAAAAGAUUGUGAUUCAAGAAAAUGAAGAAAGAUUACAUGAGAACUAUGAGACCCAAAUAUAAAUGGGAUUCUAGUGUCCUGCUGACAUAAAAAAAUAAUAAAUAUUAAAUAAAUAUUAAAAAUAAUCUAAAAUAUAUGUUGUAUUCACCAAUUUUCGUGUUUUUAGGACAUAAGAGAUGAUUACUGUCAAUUUUCUUUCCCCAUCAGAGUUUAGUAAGCAAAAGUUCACACAAACAGGUAAACAAACAAAAUUAAAAAAAAAUCCUUUUGACUAUGCCACAUUAGUUAGUUGCAAAUCACCUCUUCCACAAAAUCAAAGUGUAAAAUUGGAGCAAAAUUUUUAAAAAAACUUUUGUUUGUAGACAUCACUAACAUUAUUGUUAGUGAAGAAAAAACAGUCAGAAUUUUAAAAGAACAAAUACUAGAGUAAAAGGAAAUUACAGAGAUGAGUUUUAUGAUUUUAUAUUAAAAGAACACUAAGAAAAUUCAUAAAUAUCAUUUCCCAUUCUUCUUCCUUCUUCUACCACCUGGCAACAUGUAUACAAAAUUAAUGAAAGUUAUUUUAAGCUAAAGAAAAAUUUUCCAAUAUGGAAUGAUGGAAUUUUGUAAAGGAUUGUAGAGAAAGGUAUGGCAUAAGUAAAAUGUAGUUAAAUCAAAAUUAUAAAUGCAUAAAAAUAGUAACAAUGCCUUGUGAAGGACAAAUAUAUAGAAUUAAUAUAAAUUAAUAUAAAUCAUAUUAGAGUUACCACGUGGAAAAAGAGAGUUCUAAGAUUUUCCAGAAUAUGACAUAGGAAUAGCAAUGGAAAAUUCUUUUUACUUUGUUGUAGGUCAAUAUUUCUUAAACAUGAAACAAUAUUUUCUAACCAUAAAGGAAGAGAUUGUAGUCGAGAGAGAUCAAAUUGUCUGCUCAUUAAAAGAUACUAUGUGAGAGUAAAAAGCCACAGCAUGAAAGAACAAACAAUAUGUAUAACUGAUAAAUAUGUGUAUGCAGAAUAUAUUUCAAAACUCUUAAAACAAUAAGGAAAAAGCCUACAUAGCAAAAUAUAAAAAAUUAGCAAUAAAUAUGUUAAAAUUGUUCAACUUCAUUCAUUUUUAGGACAAGAAAAGCUAAAAUCAUGAUGAGAUAUAGUUGCACACAAGCAUUGUUAAAAUGAAUUACACUAAUAAUACCCUAUAUUAGCCAAGAUGUAGCAUAAAUGGAACUCUCAUACUGCAGUGAUAUCUACAAAUCUGAAUGCUUACAUACUCUAAGUAAGUAAUUUCACUUUUAUGCAUCUAGCUAUCAGAACUGUGCAUGUCUAUAUCCCAAAACAUAUAUACAAGAAAGUUCAUAACUUACUUUAUGUAUAAUAAUCAAAACUUGGUAAAUGAAUUACCCUCAGAAAUAAGAUGAGUAAAUAAAUUACGCUAUUUUCACACAAUGAGCUAUUAUACAGCUAUGAAAAUCAAUGAAAUAUUGCUAUAGUAAUAGCAUGGAUGAAUCUAAGGCCAUUAUUGUUAGUGAAGAAAAAACAUGCAUAUUAAUAUGUAGUAUAGGAUUCAAUGAUAGAAAUUUCAAAAGUGACCAAAACUUAUUAAUGGUGUUGAACACUAGGACAAUGGUUGUCUUUGGAUGGGCAGUCCAGUUGUGAUUAGAAGGCACACAUUAGAGCUUCUUAUGUUUUGGUAAUAUUUUAUUUCUUGACCUAGCUGUUUUGACUAGAGUUUGUUCAUUUUAUGAAAAUUCACUAAUCUGUGUGUUCAUCAUCUUUUUAUUCUUUAGCUCAUGAUAUGAACUGAAUUGUGUCCCCUGUCCUCAAUCCUGAUGUUAAUGCCCCGACUGACUCCCAUUGUGAUAACAUUUGGAGAUGGAGUCUUUGGGAAAUAAUUAAAGUUAGAUGAGUUCUUGAGGGUGAUGUCCUGCCCUGAUGGGUUUAAUGUACUUAUAAGAAGAGGCAACAGAGCUUGCUCUCAUGAGCACAGAGGAAAGGCCAUGUGAGAACAUAAUGAGAAGGUGGCUUUCUGCAAGCUGAAGAGAACCCCCACCAGGGACUGAAUUAGCCAGAGCUUUGAACUUGGAUUUUCCAGCGUUCACAACCGUGAAAAAUAAAUGUCUCUUGUCUAAACCACCCUGUCUAUGUUAUUUACUAAGAAAGCCCAAGUUGACUGAGACAGUCUAGAAGCUUCAGGAGGGUAAAAACAACAUACUCUGUAUCUUGUAUCUCUGUAAACAGCAUUGCGCCUGUCAAAAAGUAGAUGGUAAGAGGUGUUUAAAUACCUGCUUCCUUUUAAUGUGCUCUGUCAGUGACAGCAAAAAUCUUAUGUCCUUUCUUUAGUUUGUUUUUAUAAAAAUGAACCAUCAUGUAAGAUAUCAUAUUACAACAGUACAAUAAGUAAGGUUGAACAUGUUUUUUCAAAUACACCCCCUUGCAGUUUCCUUGCAUUCCCUGCCUUUCACCCCACCCACACUUUUUUUGGAUGCUCAGAUCACUGGUUUAGAAUCCUUUGUGGGGUGAUCCACCUUAUCUUGCAAAGUGAUGUUACAACUUGGGCAUAUCUUUCCUGAGUCAAACCAUAAUUGAAAAGUCAUGUGUUUUUCUAGUGCUGUAUAAUGCACAUUACUUUCUGGGCCAAUCUGGGAUUCAUAUAUAUAAUCCAGAUGAUAUAUAAAGAUAUCAGUAUGUAUGUUUAUGGAUUAUUGAAAAAUUAAAUCUCACAGUUUUCUGAGGAAGUAUAUGUUCUAUAAUCUAUAAGAAUCAGUGUGAUACUGUGUGUGGUUGUUAAUGCCUGUAAUCCCAGGAGGCUGAGGCAGGAGUAUCUCGAGUUCAAAGCUAGACUCAUCAAUCUCGAGGCACUAAGCAACUCAGUGAGACCCUGUAUCUAAAUAAAAUACAAAAUAGGACUUGGGAUGGACUCAGUGAUUGAGUGCCCCUGAGUUCAAUCCCUAGUACCAAAUCAUCAUAUCAUCAUCAUCAUCAUCAUCAUCAUCAUCAGUGUGGUUUUGAUGUUAGAUCAAAUAUUACAAAUAUUUCUAAUAUACAUUUUUUCACUGAUGUUUUUUCAUUUGGUUUUUAACUCUCCCAUAUCUUUGUUGCUUAUUUUUUUAGCCAUUUGAACAGCACUGCUCAAUAAUCAUGUUCAGAUAUGAACUGCAUUUGUAUUUCUCAUAUUAAUCUUUUAAAUUCCACUUCACCUUCCCCAAAAGAGAAAAAUGGAAACUACUCAAAGUAACACACGGCAUAAACAUAUAUCUUAAAAUACAAGGACUUCAAAGCGUUAUAACAUAGUCCUUUGCAUUUAUAGAGCACUUUGCUUUUCAAAGAACUUCUCAUAAUUCAUCUUAUUGUAUGUGUGUGUGUAUCUAAUAUACAUAUAUAUUAGAUACAACAUAUAAAGACAAAAACCCCUAUUCUUUAAAAUACCCAUGUCUCAUUCUGUUCCUACAUUAACAGUCUUAACACAUUUGCAUCAUGAUCAGUUACGAGCUAUUCUGCCUUUCACACAUUUCAUUUCAAAAUCACAGCAUUAAGGAGUAAUUGUAAAUAUAACAUGCCUUUCUCCUGAGUUAUUUCAUACUUAAUUUGGUGUGUUGAUUGUAUAUUUUGUCCUUUCUGGCAUUGUCCUCACAAUAGUCUUAAUCCUGUUUUUAAAUAAUCACAGCGUGUACAUCCUAAAGAGUCUUAAUUGAUUAUUACCUUAUUGAUCAUAGUUAAUACUUUUUUCUCUGUUGCUAACUGGUUUUAAAUCCAUUCCUUAUAUGCAUCUGUGUUAAACUGUAGAUUUCCAAUAUCUUUUAUACCUUGAUCCUGCAAGCCUUUCAUCCUUGAGCAAUGACCUCAUAUGAGGUGAUUUUGCAUCUCUCCGUUCUUUUUCCACUUUUGACCUGUGGCAAGGUUUUUCCCUGAGACGUCAUAUCUCCUCUGAGCAGCAUUGACAAUCCCUGCUACAAGAUUGAAUCUCAUCCACACUGAUUUCAAUUGCUGCUUUUCAAUUGUUUGGGCUUACUGUUCCAUAAAGCAAUAAAAAAACUACUCUGUACAAAGAUAUCCCACAUUCAACUGGUAGCAGGUAAACAUAAUUAAUGUCUAAAAGACAAAGGAUUAAAGUGUUCAAUGGAACUGUGUGUUCCUAAGAAAGCUCCUAAAUUUUUUUUGUGCUAAAACGUCAUUGACAUUUAUUGAGUAUCCUAAUAAGUGUUAAUUGAUAAGCAUAAUAAAUCCCUUUAUAAAUUUCAUUUCUAAAUUAAUCUCCAAACUAUUUAUUAGGAUUUAAUAGCCAUUUUUAAUUCCCAUUAUAUUUUCUUUAUUUUAUAUUCAUCCUAACCUAGUUAUUUUUAUUGAUUGUAAACACUAGUAAUUUUGCAUUUAUUUUGUUCUAAAGAAGUUAUCUUUUCUGACAUCAUCAUUGUGAUUCUGUUCUUGCAGUAACUGGGAAUAAUGGACUUAGUGUUAAAAUUUAUAAAUGUAUUUUUUAAAAUUUAUUAUGUGUUACAUUGGUGUUAAGUUAGUUGUUUCCAAUUAUAAAAUCUGUUUUACAUAAGUAUGUGUGUAUAUAUGUAUACAUAUAUAUGGAAAUCUAAUAUUAUAAAUAGAGGGCUUCAUAGAUAUUUUCACAUCAUAUUUUACAUCAGAUCCUAUGUAUCAGAGCAGAAUAGCUCAGUAAUGUCCAGGACAAGGAGUCUGGUUAUACCGGAGAAUUAUGAAGAAUAUGCCAUUGUAGACAAAAAGGGGACAUAAUCAGAUAGAAAAUUGGCUCAUAUUGGAGAAGGAGGUAGCAAAUACCUAGGUAGAGAAGCUAAAUCCAGAGUCUAAAUGAUCAGCGGUAGGAUUUUCAGUUAGAUUAGUAAUUCAUCCAGAAGCACUUUACUACUCAAUUAUUUUGAAAAACAAUGCAGAGGCAAAUACAUUGUUACUGGUUUAAGAAUUAUGAUAAAUUUAGUAUAGCCAAUUUGGAAAGCAUUAUGAAGAUUCCUCAAAAGACUCCAAAUGGAACCAACAUGUGACCCAUCCAUCUCCCACCUUAGUAUUUAUCCCCCCAAAAAUAAAAUCAUCAGACUCUAGUGAUACAUGCAUACUAAUGUUUAUAGCAGUGCAAUUCACAACAACCAUGUAUGGAACCAGCCCAGGUUCCCAUCAACAGAUGAAUGGAUAAAGAAAACACGGUAUGUAUGCACAAUACAUACUCAGCCAGAAAGAAAAGUGACAUAAUGACAUUUGCUGGUAUAAUGAUGGAACUGGAGAACAUCAUGCUAAGUGAAAUAAGCCAGACAAAGAAAGUCAAGGAUCAGAUGUUUUCUUUCAUAUGUGAAAGCUAGGGAGAAAAAAGGAUUUUUUUUCAUAAAGGUGGUCCCAUGGAACAAACAAGGAAGGACAGCAGAGUACAAGAAGGGGACAAAGUGAGAGGAAGGAGGGGUGAAAAAGGGAAGGAACUGGUGAAUCAAAUUGACCAAAUUAUACUAUGUGCAUGUAUGAAUAAUCACAAUGAAUUCCAUUUUAUGUAUAUUUAUAAUGUACCAUUAAAAACAAUAAAAAAAUAGAAGCAAGACCAAUAGAGUGGAGAAAGGGGAUCAGUGGGAGGGAGGAUAAGAGGCAAGGGGAAAAUACUGGGGAUUGAAAUGGAGCAAAUUAUAUUACAUGCAAGUAUCAAUAUGUCAAAAUGAACCCCAUUAUUGUAUAUAACUAUAAUGCACUAAUAAAAACAUUAAAAAUAAUUAUGUAGAAACAGGUUUUCAAACAUUGUCUCCAGUUGCCCCACUUCUGUCUAAUUGAUUGGCAAAGAGACAUUGGUAAUUCAAGAACCACAUCUGAUUAGCUUAGCAACCUCAGAAGAAAAACUCUUCAGAGAGCUUAUUUAUUUAUUUUUUAACAACCAACAGUCUGUUUAAUACAAUAUUUACAAAUGGCAAACUUUGCUUCUGCCAUAAAUAUUCUCUUUUUUUAACAUUUCAUUAUAAAAGCAACAAAAAUAAUUUUAUUUUUCUUCCCUAAAGUGAAAACAGAGAAGCAGUGAAUGGCUUUUCUUUUUAGUUGAUAUUAACUAACUUAGAACUCCUAAGUAUACCUUACCUGGCUAAUGUUUUUCAUAUAGGCAAUUUUUCCAAUAUAAUUCUUUCUUUUGUCCCAGUGCUGGAGAUAGAACUCAGGGCCUCACAUGAGAGCUUAGAUUAAGGGGACUCACUAAAGAUUCUGUUUAUCCAUUUUGAGUCAUUCAUGGACCUAUUUCUGAAUCAAGCAUAGUGCUUAGGGUGUGCAUAAGACAUAAGGCAGUCAGCUUUCCCUCAACCUUGCAAAAUACCCUGCUCACAAAGAACAACUAGCUCUGUUAGUGGAAAAGGGAAGUGAAUCCAGCCAGGAGACAUCAACAGAUACGUAGUUUCUAUGGUCAAAUUUUGGAUGAUCAUGGCUGAUAAAGCUGGAGGAGGUAAGAACCAUUCCUAAAAACAUAGUAACCACUAGAGAAGGACAGAGUCAAACAGAGAAAUACUGACAUUUAAAAGCACCUAGAUUACAAGAGCCUGGCUGAUAUGGCCUGAACACAGGAUAGAGAGAGAUGUUCAAAGGUAUCAGAACUUUGGCAGAAUUCUAUGCAUGGCAUGUGGAAAUCAGCUGACACAGUGACAUCAAUAAUGAACCAAUAUCUUGGGAGACAUGGGCCCCACAGUCACUUUCUUAUCAAGGCCCAAAUUGAUAAGCACAAUUUAAAAUAGUAUAUGAGUAGUAUUAAAGUCACAAGUAGAAUAAAUAGAGGCACAUUCCUGGAAUUGUUGGAGGGUCACAGACCUUCUUAUAAUAUGUAUCUCCUUUCCAAACAUGUAGUCAUUAUCAGGAAAUUUGAUUAUCAAAUAUUGUAUUAUUAUUCAAAAUAAUUCCCAUUAUUUUUCCCCAAGCUGGUGUUUGCUAUAGAGGACUUUGUUCUAUAUGAGUCUUCUAUGUUCCUAGAUAGUUAAAAAUCUAUUUUCUUGCAUGAACUUUUAAUCAUUAUUCCCACACCUUGUUUUUUCAUUACUUCUGUUGUGUUCCAGGACACCAAUUAUCUCAGCUCUACUAAUCACGAGUAGAGAGGUUUUAAUUGAGUUACGUAAAGCUUUGUAGUUAUUAGUAUCCUCUUCUGUAAAAUGGAAAUGAUUCCUCUAGUCAUCUCAUAAAGUUCCCUUGAGGAUUUAAGAAGUUGAUUUAUACUGAGUGUGGUGGCACACACCUGUAAUCCCAGUGACUCAGGAGGCUGAGGCUGGAGAAGUGCAAGUUCAAGGUCAGCCUUAGUAACUUAGACCUGUUUCAAAAAAAAAAAAAAUUAAAAAAGGACUGGGAUGUAGCUCAGUGGUAAAUUACCUGGAGUUUAAGCCCUAGUAUCAAAGUAAAAGAAGAAGCUGAUUUAGGUAAAACAUCCAGCAUAGAGUCUGGCCCUUAGUACACACACAGUUUAUUUAUUUUUUUUCCCAUAGAAAAGAGUGAUGAGGGGCUGGGGAUGUGGCUCAAGCGGUAGCGCGCUCGCCUGGCAUGCGAGCGGCCCGGGUUCGAUCCUCAGCACCACAUACAAAACAAAGAUGUUGUGUCCACCGAUAACUAAAAAAUAAAUAUUAAAAAAAUUCUCUCUCACUCUCUCUUAAAAAAAAAAGAAAAGAGUGAUGACACAGGUCCUGUCCUUUUCCACACAGAGGUCUUAAUUCCUAUAUUUUGAUUGAAAUUACAUAAAACUUACACAAAAUUCUGAUAAAUUCAUGGGUCAGUGAAUUCUGAGUUCUUUAUUAUGAGUUCACAAACAAGAGAGGUUUUAUCCUUUGGAUAAAAGUUGCAGAGGAAGAAGAGAUAAAAAGACAGAAGAAUCAGGGAUUAUAGGAUGAUAAAUUUUUCAACAGGGUCCCAUAAUGCAGGCCCAAGUGUGUAGAAGAAGCUGUCUUCAAGGGUUGUUAUAACACUCAUGCACAGAAAACAUUACUUCCAGGGUCAAAAUGAUAAAAGUGCAACACAGAGUCAAAGAGAUGAGCUUCACACUAUUAUUUUUUUAUGAUAUGCAGAAUGACAAAAUUGAAUGGUAGCUCUCCCUGUGAAGACUCAGCAGUUUGGAAAGUGUUAGAAGACAAAAUUCUAGGGCAUCACAAUGUGGUCCACAUUUGAUCCCAACCCAUGAACUUCUGACACAGAGACUGAAAGUAAGCAUUUAGAAGCUUUGAUAGCAGUUUGACAUUGUUGUGACAUUCAAGAGUAUGCUGUUUUUCUAGAAAAUCAUUUUUCAUUGUGUUUUUCAGAUGUAUUGGUUUUCUGUCAGAUUAGGAGAGAAAACUGUUCCUUUGGCAUAGGUAGUUUGAGGAGAACUGCUCUAGGGAAUGUUCUGUGAAAUAGUGGAGAUUGCUGCAGCUCUGGAGGGGCAAGUUGCCUCUCUUAAGUGGGUUUCUGGUAGACCAAGAAACCGAAAUGGAAAGUCUUGAAUGAGUUUAUCCCAGAAAUCAUAUGUGCUGAACACAGGGUUUCAGUUACUUGCUAUGUGCAAAUAUAGUAAAACAUACAUCUGUCUUCCUUUGUUUACUUUAGUAAACAAAGUGCCUACUAGACUUUCAGAAAAAAACUGGAUGAGUUUUCAAGCAAGGAGUUGAAGUCCUCCUGCAACAGGAGGAAAGGUCAGGAAAGGUCAGUGAGCCAAUAAAAUUUGGGUUACGAAUAUUUUUGUUGAAGCAUUUAUUCUAGCCUAGGAAUUUGGGGUUUUAUGUAAUGUAUCUGGCUAUGCAUAAGUGAAAUCAGCUUAUGAAUUAAAACUGAAGCAAUAGUCAUAAAAAAUUUUAAAAAAAGAAAACAAGAAUCAAGGUAGCUGCCUCAUUAUUCCAAGAAAUAAUAAAGCAAAGGGUAGUCUAAGCUUCUCUGUAGGUGCAAGGGGAGUCUGAAUAAUAGAAAAUCACUUAGUGCACUGGGGAAAGACAUCAGGAAAGAGCCCUGGUUAUAUUUAUCUGAGGAAAUAAACCAGAUCUUUGGGGAAAACAAAAUCAAGGACCAGAAAUAAUUUACAGCUUUUUUUUCCUGUUAAUUCUGUUCAAGUACACCCCAAAGUAGAUUGCAAUGAGGGAAUUAGACGCUUUUAAACAGCAGACAAAGAAAAUUCUGAGUGGGAGGUAAGCAGGUAUCAGGGACUUAAACCUUGUCAUCCAAUAUAGAGGGUAUGCAAAUCUGAUGCAUUGAGAUAAAUUUCUUUCCAUAACAUCACUCUUCUGUAAACAGUUCUUACAAAGCCACAGAGCUGGGUCAUCCAAUACUAUCUUCCAAUUCCAUAUACAUAAGAAAAGUCUAAUUAGUUAGUGGGAAAGCCAAAGUUUAAGUUUUCUAACUGAACAGUGUUCCUUCAUGACAUGAAGUAUUUAUUUAUUUAUUUAUUAAUAUUUUAUUUUUUAGUUGUAGAUGGAUACAAUAUUUUUAUUUUAUUUGUAUGUGUUGCUGAGGAUCAAACCCAGGGCCUCACAUGUGCUAGGCAAGCGAUCUACUGCUGAGUUAUAACCCCAGCCCUGACAUGAAGUAUUUAAAUUUGUUUCCUCAUGGUGGGUUUUGCAAAAACCAUUCAUUCAUACACAUGUAUUCUGCCUGUGUAUGAUGGCAGCACGUACUUCUGCCAAAGGUGCACCAAAAUAGUCAAUAAUUUAUCAAAUUCUAUGUGCAGACCCUGUGUCUCAGGGGUUCCAGCCUUACUCAGUAGUAUCAUCAUACAAUUUUAAAUUCUUCCUGAAAUAUUCUAUAACUUCUGUCUUACAGAGAACACCACACUCUCCUGCAAGGAUUCUCUCCAAUAAUAAAACAAAAUCAAGGAAAAAAAUCUUUCUUUGUCAAUGUGUUUAGUUGAUUAUCAAAUCAAUUUCAAGUUUUAAAAAUAAUUUACCAUGUCUAUAAGAAUGCUGUAUUUUGACUACCUGCUCUCUUUUUUAAGUCAUGUUGACCUCCUGGGGCACAUCUCUUUCAUUAAUUCCUUGAUCUUUGCUGUUUUUGUCGUGGUGUCUCGUAAUUUUUCUCUGAAGGUUUGCACUUGCCAUUUCUCUAGUAAUAAGUACAUGCAACCAGUAUAUGGUUUUCAGCCCUUUUUAGGAAUCCUAGUAAUUAAAUGUAGUAAUCUGCUAAAUGAUAUAUAGUAAUGUUUCACCCCUUGAUUUUAUGGGUUAGGUAUUGACUUUAACUCACCCAGUUAUAAAUAAAAUCUAUUGAAGCUAAAUACCUUCCUCCCUAGUAUCCUUUCCCAAUUUAAUUGCAAUAUUAAUCUUUUUUGCAUUUACACUAAAACUGCAUAGAUUUUUAAAGCAGGGAUGAGAAGUGCUUUGGCAACAAGACAGACCUUCCCUUCCUAUGACUAGUUUUAUGAGGCUUUUAAAAUCCAGCAGCCUCUUCCCUGUCUUAAAAUAACCCACAGCCUACUUCUCAGAAAUCACAAUGUUCACCUCUUUUAGAUGUUUCUUCAGGUAUUUACCUCUGUAUUUUUAAAUAAUAUAUUUUACUGAUGUUUGCUUUUAGUUGUUGAGGCUCUCUCUCUCUUAAGCAUCUCCACAUUCAUGUUCCCUUCCCCUACCCACCACAGUGCGAUUAUAGCGUAAUGUGUGCUUAUGCCAAUGCUGAGCUUAACUUUUAAGAACAUACAAUUUUAAUUCAUACAUAAACCACAUUUUUACUAUAACUGCACAUGUGUUUUUGUACAUCUUUGUUUUCUAUACAAUUAAUAUUGAUUCUCUUUUUGUUUGUCUUGUUUUUCCAUGAAAAACUCACUAAAACAUUCUCAAACUCUUUACCAUAGGAAAAUAAAUCUAUCAACAAAUUUACAUAAUCUAGAUAUCUUUCAAUUUUAUUUUCUUAUUCAGACACACCCUUCCUCAAAACCUCUGUCUUCUUGUAUAUAGUGGUUGUUUUCCUAGUCUGACACACCCUCAUCAUCUUGGGGUCUCCCUUCCUUAUGAGUCUAGGGUUGAUGUUGUUCUCUUUUGAACACUCUGAUUUCUGUUUCUUGAUUAACUUGUUCAUUUUGCUAGGUUAUCUUUUUUUAGUUCCCCGAGAAAUUGCGCCAGGAUGGUAAAUUUGAGUUCUUUCAUGUCUAAGGACUCUAAUCAGUCUUGAUUGAUAGUUGCUGAAUUCUAGGUUGGGAAUCAUAUUACCCCAGAACUGUGGAGGGAUUAUAUGAAAAGGCAUAAUUUUGUUGAACAGGGGGAAAAUGCAUCCUGUUUUAUUUUCCUCUUUGCCUUCUUUGUAAUUAGGAGGGAAUCUAUAGGCCAGAGUGAUAUAUGUGACUUCCAACCCUGGACCUUGAAACCUCCACAGGAGCUGCCACAAUCUGCAUCUCUCCUGGGAUUGCAACUGAGGCAGAGGAACUGGUGGAGAACUCCAAGUCCUUCGGUGGCAGUAGAGGCACUCUACUAUCAAAAAUAAGACUAAGUCAUCAGCAAGAAUUUCAAAUUGUUUCGUUGAGCCACUAGGAUUGUUUGAUAGUUGUUUGUCAUAGAAAUAAGUCUAUGCCGACUAAGACACAUGCUUCAUUACCUAGUUCUAAGUUUUGUUCAUCAGAGGUCUAAUGAUAUUCUGACGCCUGGUCCUUUGUUUAUAAUCCAAUUAAUCUUCAUCUCUCUCUCUCUCUCUCUCUCUCUCUCUCUCUCUCUUUCUUUUUUAUAAUCCUUACUCUGAGCAAUCUGUGAGCCACUUUAUGUGAG
rnacentral:lncRNA from 1 species